GCUGCAGCCUAGCGAACUCCGCGCAAGGGCAUCGGAUCCGCUACACUGAGAGGCCGAGGACAGGCGUCCCAAGCACGGCUCCCUUGCCCCUCCAGCGGACUCCAGGUGGGCUUAGAAGAAGCAGAUGCCCUGAUUCCAGCCAUGGAGACCUGAGGUUGCCUCUGCAAUGCCUGGAAUUUUGGCAGCCAUCUUGGGAUCAUGAGAAAAGUCAGCCUGAAGGAAACGUGCUGAGAAGGACAAAGGAGAAAGGUGGGAGGUUCUGGGACCUGUGGCUUCUCCUAUCAUCCUACUGGGGAGGGUGAUAAAGUCUCUUAGCUAAGCCAUGUUAAUUUGGGUUUUCGGCUGCUUGCAGCCAAAAAUUUAGCCCAACUGACAUGCAGACGGAGGAUGACGAGCCAAUACCCAGCCUCUCUGUCUGCAACACUCCUUGUCCUCCUGCAACUCACCUCUUUUCACUUCUCCUCUGAAAAGCCUGGCGUUUUCUUCUAUCCUACUUUCUGCAGGCGAAGGGCCUGAAAGUGGCUGUGGGAAGCUUCUUUGGUCUAUUCCCUCUCCU
rnacentral:lncRNA from 1 species